rnacentral:rRNA from 1 species
UACGGAGGGGGCAAGCGUUGUCCGGAUUUACUGGGCGUAAAGAGCGCGCAGGCGGUCGUUCAAGUCGCGUGUGAAAGCCCCCGGCUCAACUGGGGAGGGUCACGCGAUACUGAUCGACUCGAAGGCAGGAGAGGGUAGUGGAAUUCCCGGUGUAGUGGUGAAAUGCGUAGAUAUCGGGAGGAACACCAGUGGCGAAGGCGACUACCUGGCCUGUUCUUGACGCUGAGGCGCGAAAGCUAGGGGAGCAAACGGGG